rnacentral:tRNA from 1 species
GGAGAAUUACCCAAGUCUGGUCCAAGGGGCAUUUUUAAUUUAUUAUGAGUGUAGGUCGCUUUGCGAUGCGGGGGUUCAAAUCCUUCAUUCUCCA